UACAGAGGGUGCAAGCGUUAAUCGGAAUUACUGGGCGUAAAGCGCGCGUAGGUGGUUUGUUAAGUUGAAUGUGAAAUCCCCGGGCUCAACCUGGGAACUGCAUCCAAAACUGGCAAGCUAGAGUAUGGUGGAGGGUGGUGGAAUUUCCUGUGUAGCGGUGAAAUGCGUAGAUAUAGGAAGGAACACCAGUGGCGAAGGCGACCACCUGGACUGAUACUGACACUGAGGUGCGAAAGCGUGGGGAGCAAACAGG
rnacentral:rRNA from 1 species